UUGGUGAUUGGGGUGAAGUCGUAACAAGGUAGCCGUAGGAGAACCUGCGGCUGGAUCACCUCCUUUCUAGGGAGAAUGGAA
rnacentral:rRNA from 1 species